UGGGGUGUAGCCAAGUUGGUUUAAGGCAAUAGGUUCUGAUCCUAUGAACGGGGGUUCAAGUCCCUCCACCCCAGCCA
rnacentral:tRNA from 1 species